UACGGAGGGGCUAGCGUUGUUCGGAAUUACUGGGCGUAAAGCGCGCGUAGGCGGACCUGCAAGUCGGGGGUGAAAGCCCGAGGCUCAACCUCGGAACUGCCUUCGAUACUGCGGGUCUCGAGUCCGGGAGAGGUGAGUGGAAUUCCUAGUGUAGAGGUGAAAUUCGUAGAUAUUAGGAAGAACACCAGUGGCGAAGGCGGC
rnacentral:rRNA from 1 species